rnacentral:rRNA from 2 species
GCCUGCCCAGUGAAUAAUUAAACGGCCGCGGUAUCCUAACCGUGCAAAGGUAGCAUAAUCAUUUGUCUAUUAAUUGUAGACCUGUAUGAAAGGCAAAUGA